rnacentral:rRNA from 1 species
AAGACCUACGGGGCGCAGCAGUGAGGAAUAUUGGUCAAUGGUCGGGAGACUGAACCAGCCAAGCCGCGUGAGGGAGGAAGGUACAGAGUAUCGUAAACCUCUUUUGUCAAGGAACAAAGGCGGGGACGUGUCCCCGGAUGAGUGUACCUGAAGAAAAAGCAUCGGCUAACUCCGUGCCAGCAGCCGCGGUAAUACGGAGGAUGCGAGCGUUAUCCGGAUUUAUUGGGUUUAAAGGGUGCGCAGGCGGUCUGUUAAGUCAGCGGUCAAAGCCCGGGUCUUCAC